ensembl:snoRNA
AUCCUUUCGUAGUCCAUAAAUGUAGUGAUUGGGUGUUCAUGCUCACGUAUGAGAUAUGCCUACCCCCUCUGAUGUCGGCACAUUACCCAUAUGACA